GCGCCCGUAGCUCAAUAGGAUAGAGCACCUGGCUACGGACCAGGAGGUUGGGGGUUCGAGUCCCUCCGGGCGCG
rnacentral:tRNA from 1 species